rnacentral:rRNA from 1 species
GACGAACGCUGGCGGCGUGCUUAACACAUGCAAGUCGAACGGUGAAGCGCUUGCCUUUUUGGUGGGUGUGGAUGAGUGGCGAACGGGUGAGUAACACGUGAGUAACCUGCCCUCUUCUUCUGGAUAACCUCAUGAAAGUGGGGCUAAUACGGGGUAUUCCGGGUCUGUCGCAUGGCGGGUUUGGGAAAGAUUGCGCCUUUGGGUGUUUUCGGUGGGGGAUGGGCUCGCGGCCUAUCAGCUUGUUGGUGGGGUGAUGGCCUACCAAGGCGGUGACGGGUAGCCGGCCUGAGAGGGUGGACGGCCACACUGGGACUGAGACACGGCCCAGACUCCUGCGGGAGGCAGCAGUGGGGAAUAUUGCACAAUGGGCGCAAGCCUGAUGCAGCGACGCCGCGUGAGGGAUGGAGGCCUUCGGGUGGUGAACCUCUUUCGCCAGGGAAGCAGGCCUGCUCCUGUGUGGGUGGGUUGACGGUAGCUGGAUAAGAAGCGCCGGCUAACUACGUG